rnacentral:lncRNA from 1 species
UUUACGCCAUAGCAUAUUCAAUCCAUUGCAAAAGUGGUUGUGAUCAAUGUAAGAUUCUAUGCAAGUUCACAAACAUCACUAUUCUAACAAGGCUCUUCCAUAUAUAUCUAUACUGAAGAACAACUUCCGUUCCUAUACAAGUAUAAAGGCACAUCAAACUUCUGAAGUCUUGAAAGUUUAACAAACAGAGAUUUUUCUGUCUAAUUCGAAAUGAAGGGAAUUGGAUCCUAUCAAUAUUGAAGUGUCCUCUUGCUUCCCUAGUUAGCUCUAGUUUUACAUUUUCACAUAUUCCUCAACUUUCCCAACUUACUGCGAUUGAACUACAUUGAUCUACUCCUCCCAAAUUACAUAGUCUUCAAUCAAUCACCAAAGUUGAAAGGGAGAGAAAUACUUUCUCCUGUUGAAAUCAGACCAAUUUUGAAUGUCAAACAAAGUUGAGCAAGGUAACUGAUACUUACCCAUCAUCCCUGGACAAAAUUCAUCAAACUAAAUUGAUUAUUGUUAUGAAGUACAUUUUGUUUUAGCUCAAAAUAUGACCUUCCCUUAAACAAAGGUAGUCCUGUUAUACAUCCUUAAACAAAGGUAAUCUUGUUAAAAAUCUUGACAACUGUUAGAUAAGAUUCUAGUGGAAUGCACAAAAGGUUUUCAUUGCCCUAUUAUCAGGAGGCAGUAUCGCCCUUCAUGCCCUCGGUAAUUGGCAUAAAUAAACUUUUAUCCAUGGCACAAACUUCUACAUUAUUCUAGCAUUAUUCAUGAUUGCAGGUAAGCUCGACCAGCUGGGGAGAACCUUGGAUGAAUGCAAACUACAAGGAACAAAACAAGGCGGCAGAUCAACUAACAAAGGGUUGAUAAAUCCAGCCAUUUUUAGCAAAUUUAUUUUGUUAUAUUGUGUAUUUAUUCUUUUCAUUUAGAGUAUAUGUUUAGCUGUUUUAUUGUUCUAUCUUCAAUAUGUUGGGUCAAGUCCAAUAACGACACUAUAUAACAAUGUGUAAACAAUUAAUAGUUUAUCUAAUUUACGUUGUAGCUGGC